rnacentral:rRNA from 1 species
GAUGAACGCUGGCGGCGUGCCUAAUACAUGCAAGUCGAGCGAACGGACGAGAAGCUUGCUUCUCUGAUGUUAGCGGCGGACGGGUGAGUAACACGUGGAUAACCUACCUAUAAGACUGGGAUAACUUCGGGAAACCGGAGCUAAUACCGGAUGAUAUUUUGAACCGCAUGGUUCAAAAGUGAAAGACGGUCUUGCUGUCACUUAUAGAUGGAUCCGCGCUGCAGUAGCUAGUUGGUAAGUUAACGGGUUACCAAGGCAACGAUGCAUAACAGACCUGAGAGGGUGAUAGGCCACACUGGAACUGAGACAGGGUCCAGACUCCUGAGGGAGGCAGCAGUAGGGAAUCUUCCGCAACGGGCGAAAGCAUGACGGAGCAACGCCGCGUGAGUGAUGAAGGUCUUCGGAUCGUAAAACUCUGUUAUUAGGGAAGAACAUAUGUGUAAGUAACUGUGCACAUCUUGACGGUACCUAAUCAGAAAGCCACGGCUAACUACGUG